rnacentral:pre_miRNA from 1 species
AUCACUGGGAGAUCUUGUUAAAAUGCAGAUUCUGAUUCAGGAGGUCGGGAGAGGCCUGAGACACUGCAGUUCUAACAAGCUCCCAGGUGAUGCUGA